UUCUGUGUAUUUUUUAUAAAUAUCACGAACAGUCUGACCUGGUCACAAAACAUCACAUCACAAGUUAAGAGAGCGCAGCAGUGGUUGCACUUUCUGCACCGGAUGAGAAGAGCUCACCUCCCCCAUCCCGUCCUCACCACUUUCUACAGGGGCAACAUGGAGAGCAUCUUGACCAGCUGCAUCUCUGUCUGGUUUG